GCUGAGGCACAACAGUUUCCUUCUAUAAUAAUAAAGGUGUUUAUUUGUGUGUGUCUGUUAAGGAGGAAAUGGAGAAUCCUAACUCUGCAUUUCCUUUUUCAGCCCAGAGCCGUGCAGAGACCAGACUCUGAAGUACUCAGUAUGUCUGACUCAAUGAGGAACCGCAGGUUACAACACUGGCUUAAUGAGCCCAACUCGACCUUCUCCCAAUCGAUGAUAGAUGGCGCUGAAGCAGCAGAUGAUGCUAUAGAGUCAGGAUUCUCAUCUGUCAGUCACUUUCUCAGUGAUGACGACCAAUCGACAUGUCCAUCUGAUCUAUCCCUCCACAGUGAUUGGUCAAAUGGAAUAUUUAUUGAUUUUAAAAAA